rnacentral:rRNA from 1 species
GACGAACGCUGGCGGCGUGCCUAAUACAUGCAAGUAGAACGCUGAAGAGAGGAGCUUGCUCUUCUUGGAUGAGUUGCGAACGGGUGAGUAACGCGUAGGUAACCUGCCUUGUAGCGGGGGAUAACUAUUGGAAACGAUAGCUAAUACCGCAUAACAAUGGUUGACACAUGUCAUUUAUUUGAAAGGGGCAAUUGCUCCACUACAAGAUGGACCUGCGUUGUAUUAGCUAGUAGGUGAAGUAAUGGCUCACCUAGGCGACGAUACAUAGCCGACCUGAGAGGGGGAUCGCCCACACGGGAACUAAACCACGCCCAAGACUCCUACGGGAGGCACCAGAAGGGAUUCUUCGGCAAUGGGGCAACCCUGACCGAGCAACGCCGCGUGAGUGAAGAAGGUUUUCGGAUCGUAAAGCUCUGUUGUAAGUCAAGAACGGGGGUGAGAGUGGAAAGUUCACAAUGUGACGGCAGCUUACCAGAAAGGGACGGCUAACUACGUG